rnacentral:misc_RNA from 1 species
GAUGAAGAACGUAGCGAAAUGCGAUAAGUAAUGUGAAUUGCAGAAUUCAGUGAAUCAUCGAAUCUUUGAACGCACAUUGCGCCCCCUGGUAUUCCGGGGGGCAUGCCUGUUCGAGCGUCAUUUCACCACUCAAGCCUCGCUUGGUAUUGGGCAACGCGGUCCGCCGCGUGCCUCAAAUCGACCGGCUGGGUCUUCUGUCCCCUAAUCGUUGUGGAAACUAUUCGCUAAAGGGUGUUCGGGAGGCUACGCCGUAAAACAACCCCAUUUCUAAGGUUGACCUCGGAUCAGGUAGGGAUACCCGCUGAACUUAAGCAUAUCAAUAAGCGGAGGA